rnacentral:tRNA from 1 species
GUUAAGUUAGUUUAAAUAAAAUAUCAACCUGUGGAUUUGAAGAUGAAAAAAUCUUUCACUUAACC